GUCUACCCAAACUUGGUGGAGGAGCCGUUUCGAGGAGUGGCUUUUGAAAAAGUCUCAUGUUUGUUAGAAAAUGUAAAGACUCAUGAAGAAGAGAAUUUUGACAUUAAAUAGGCAGGUCAUACCGGAGAUGACAAACUUUCAAAUAUCACCCCUGGGAUGUCUGCACCUACGGAGGCCCCCGUGGACCACACACUGGAGCACACACUUGAGUGCCAUAAAGUACUUUGUGGUCCGGCCUGCCCCUCAGAUCUGCCCUUGGUAAGUGGCUCCCC
rnacentral:lncRNA from 1 species